rnacentral:rRNA from 1 species
AUACGGAGGAUCCAAGCGUUAUCCGGAAUUACUGGGCGUAAAGAGUUGCGUAGGUGGCACUGUGUGUCAGUAGUGAAAGCGUGUGGCUCAACCAUAUAUACAUUACUGAAACUGCAGAGCUAGAGGACGAGAGAGGUUAUUGGAAUUCCCAGUGUAGGAGUGAAAUCCGUAGAUAUUGGGAGGAACACCGAUGGCGUAGGCAGAUAACUGGCUCGUUCCUGACACUAAGGCACGAAAGCGUGGGUAGC